rnacentral:rRNA from 1 species
CCUACGGGAGGCAGCAGUGGGGAAUAUUGCUCAAUGGGGGAAACCCUGAAGCAGCCACGCCGCGUGAGUGAAGAAGUUUUUCGGUAUGUAAAGCCCUUUCAGCCGGGAAGCAAAUGACGGUACCUGACUAAGAAGCCCCGUCUAACUACGUGCCAGCAGCCGCGGUAAUACGUAGGGGGCAAGCGUUAUCCGGAUUUACUGGGUGGAAAGGGAGCGUAGACGGGAACACAAGGCUGGAGUGAAAUGCCGGGGCUUAACCCCGGAACUGCGUUGGAAACUGGGAAGCUAGAGUGCGGGAGAGGUAAGUGGAAUUCCUAGUGUAGCGGUGAAAUGCGUAGAUAUUAGGAGGAACAC